rnacentral:miRNA from 1 species
GGGCUGCUAGCUAAAAUUACCGAC